UACGUAGGGUGCAAGCGUUGUCCGGAAUUAUUGGUCGUAAAGAGCUCGUAGGCGGUUUGUUGCGUCGGCUGUGAAAUCCCGAGGCUCAACCUCGGGUCUGCAGUCGAUACGAGCAAACUAGAGUGUUGCAGGGGAGACUGGAAUUCCUGGUGUAGCGGUGAAAUGCGCAGAUAUCAGGAGGAACACCGGUGGCGAAGGCGGGUCUCUGGGCAACAACUGACGCUGAGGAGCGAAAGCGUUGGGAGCGAACAGG
rnacentral:rRNA from 1 species